rnacentral:rRNA from 1 species
GUCGAGAAUAAUUCACAAUGGACGAAAGUCUGAUGGUGCAACGCCGCGUGGAGGAUGACGGUCUUCGGAUUGUAAACUCCUGUCAUCCGGGAGUAAGACCUGGCUGUGAAUAGCAGACAGGGUUGAUAGUACCGGAAGAGGAAGGGACGGCUAACUUCGUGCCAGCAGCCGCGGUAAUACGAAGGUCCCGAGCGUUGUUCGGAAUCACUGGGCGUAAAGGGAGCGUAGGCGGCGUGGUAAGUCAGAUGUGAAAUCCCGGGGCUCAACCCCGGAACUGCAUCCGAUACUGCCGUGCUAGAGGAUUGGAGAGGUAGCUGGAAUUCUUGGUGUAGCAGUGAAAUGCGUGGAGAUCAAGAGGAACACUCGUGGCGAAAGCGAGCUACUGGACAAUAUCUGACGCUGAGGCUCGAAGGCCAGGGUAGCGAAAGGGAUUAGAUACCCCGGUAGUCC